AUGAAGGAAUCAGGAAUAGGGAGUUUGAAUUCAAACAUGUCCAUAAAUCCAAGAAUAAGGCCUCAUACAUCGGUUUCACAACAAAAUUCAUAUUUCAAGCAAGUAAUCAUGGGCCAAGUUCUCUACUGCAAAUCACAAGAACGGCCAAAAACUUGGUUCACAAUAGAGGUCCAAAAGGAAAGUCACUACAGUAAAAAAAAUUCAAAUAUAAAUUGUAUUUCCAACCCAAACAAGAAGAAUCACAAUAAAUUCUCACAUAUCAGAAUCACAACAUAUCAAAAAACAUAA